rnacentral:tRNA from 1 species
AGUAAAAUGACUGAAAUUUAAGUGAUAAAUUGUAAAUUUAUUUAUAAAUAUUAAAAUAUUUUUUUACUA